rnacentral:rRNA from 1 species
AUUGAACGCUGGCGGCAUGCUUUACACAUGCAAGUCGAACGGUAACAGGCCGCAAGGUGCUGACGAGUGGCGAACGGGUGAGUAAUGCAUCGGAACGUGCCCAGUCGUGGGGGAUAACUACUCGAAAGAGUAGCUAAUACCGCAUACGAUCUAUGGAUGAAAGCGGGGGACCGUAAGGCCUCGCGCGAUUGGAGCGGCCGAUGUCAGAUUAGGUAGUUGGUGGGGUAAAGGCUCACCAAGCCAACGAUCUGUAGCUGGUCUGAGAGGACAACCAGCCACACUGGAACUGAGACACGGCCCAGACUCCUACGGGAGGCAGCAGUGGGGAAUUUUGGACAAUGGGCGCAAGCCUGAUCCAGCAAUGCCGCGUGCAGGAAGAAGGCCUUCGGGUUGUAAACUGCUUUUGUACGGAGCGAAACGGCUCUGGUUAAUACCCGGGGCUAAUGACGGUACCGGAAGAAUAAGCACCGGCUAACUACGUG